AUGUAGUGUAGCGGUGAAAUGCUUAGAGAUUACAUGGAAUACCAAUUGCGAAGGCAGGUUACUACUAAUGGAUUGACGCUGAUGGACGAAAGCGUGGGUAGCGAACAGGAUUAGAUACCCUGGUAGUCCACGCCGUAAACGAUGGAUACUAGCUGUUGGGCGCAAGUUCAGUGGCUAAGCGAAAGUGAUAAGUAUCCCACCUGGGGAGUACGUUCGCAAGAAUGAAACUCAAAGGAAUUGACGGGGGCCCGCACAAGCGGUGGAGCAUGUGGUUUAAUUCGAUGAUACGCGAGGAACCUUACCAAGGCUUAAAUGUAGAUUGACCGAUUUGGAAACAGAUCUUUCGCAAGACAAUUUACAAGGUGCUGCAUGGUUGUCGUCAGCUCGUGCCGUGAGGUGUCAGGUUAAGUCCUAUAACGAGCGCAAUCCCUGUUGUUAGUUGCCAGCGAGUCAAGUCGGGAACUCUAACAAGACUGCCAGUGCAAACUGUGAGGAAG
rnacentral:rRNA from 1 species